AGCGAACGUUUGCGGCGGGCCUAACACAUGCAAGUCGAACGCACUAGCAAUAGUGAGUGGCGCACGGGUGCGUAACACGUGGGUAAUCAACCCUUCAGCCUGGGAUAACGACUCGAAAGGGUCGCUAAUACCGGAUACGGCGCGAGAGGCUUCGGCUUCUCACGAGAAAGCCACGCAAGGGGCACUGAAGGACGAGCCUGCGGCCCAUCAGCUAGUUGGUGAGGUAAGAGCUCACCAAGGCUAAGACGGGUAGCUGGUCUGAGAGGAUGAUCAGCCACACUGGAACUGAGACACGGUCCAGACUCCUACGGGAGGCAGCAGUGGGGAAUAUUGCGCAAUGGGCGAAAGCCUGACGCAGCCACGCCGCGUGAGCGAUGAAGGCCUUCGGUCGUAAGACGUCUGUGGGAGGAGGACGAAGAAAGACCUGUGAAGAGCAGGCCGUUGACGGUAGUCUCUUUAGUCAAG
rnacentral:rRNA from 1 species